rnacentral:rRNA from 1 species
GACGAACGCUGGCGGCGUGCUUAACACAUGCAAGUCGAACGGAAAGGCCCUGCUUUUGUGGGGUGCUCGAGGGGCGAACGGGUGAGUAACACGUGAGUAACCUGCCCUUGACUUUGGGAUAACUUCAGGAAACUGGGGCUAAUACCGGAUAGGAGCUCCUGCUGCAUGGUGGGGGUUGGAAAGUUUCGGCGGUUGGGGAUGGACUCGCGGCUUAUCAGCUUGCUGGUGGGGUAGUGGCUUACCCAGGCUUUGACGGGUAGCCGGCCUGAGAGGGUGACCGGCCACAUUGGUACUGAGGUACGGCCCAGACGCCUACGGGAGGCAGCAGUGGGGAAUAUUGCACAAUGGGCGGAAGCCUGUUGCAGCGACGCCGCGUGCGGGAUGACGGCCUUCGGGUUGUAAACCGCUUUCGCCUGUGACGAAGCGUGAGUGACGGUAAUGGGUAAAGAAGCACCGGCUAACUACGUG